rnacentral:rRNA from 1 species
UACGUAGGGUGCAAGCGUUGUCCGGAAUUAUUGGGCGUAAAGAGCUCGUAGGCGGUUUGUCGCGUCUGCUGUGAAAAAUCCAGGGCUUAACCCUGGACCUGCAGUGGGUACGGGCAGACUAGAGUGCGGUAGGGGAGAUCGGAAUUCCUGGUGUAGCGGUGAAAUGCGCAGAUAUCAGGAGGAACACCGGUGGCGAAGGCGGUUCUCUGGG